rnacentral:rRNA from 1 species
GACGAACGCUGGCGGCGUGCCUAAUACAUGCAAGUAGAACGCUGAAGGAGGAGCUUGCUUCUCCGGAUGAGUUGCGAACGGGUGAGUAACGCGUAGGUAACCUGCCUGGUAGCGGGGGAUAACUAUUGGAAACGAUAGCUAAUACCGCAUAACAGUAGAUGUUGCAUGACAUUUGCUUAAAAGGUGCAAUUGCAUCACUACCAGAUGGACCUGCGUUGUAUUAGCUAGUUGGUGAGGUAACGGCUCACCAAGGCGACGAUACAUAGCUGACCUGAGAGGGUGAUCGGCCACACUGGGACUGAGACACGGCCCAGACUCCUACGGGAGGCAGCAGUAGGGAAUCUUCGGCAAUGGACGGAAGUCUGACCGAGCAACGCCGCGUGAGUGAAGAAGGUUUUCGGAUCGUAAAGCUCUGUUGUAAGAGAAGAACGAGUGUGAGAGUGGAAAGUUCACACUGUGACGGUAUCUUACCAGAAAGGGACGGCUAACUACGUG